rnacentral:rRNA from 1 species
GACGAACGCUGGCGGCGUGCCUAAUACAUGCAAGUAGAACGCUGAAGGAGGAGCUUGCUUCUCUGGAUGAGUUGCGAACGGGUGAGUAACGCGUAGGUAACCUGCCUGGUAGCGGGGGAUAACUAUUGGAAACGAUAGCUAAUACCGCAUAAUAGUAGAUGUUGCAUGACAUUUGCUUAAAAGGUGCAAUUGCAUCACUACCAGAUGGACCUGCGUUGUAUUAGCUAGUUGGUGAGGUAACGGCUCACCAAGGCGACGAUACAUAGCCGACCUGAGAGGGUGAUCGGCCACACUGGGACUGGAGCCAGGCCCAGACCCCUACGGGGGGCAGCAGUAGGGGAUCUUCGGCAAUGGGCGGAAGGCUGACCGGGCAACGCCGCGGGGGGGGAGAAGGGUUUCGGAUCGGAAAGCUCUGUUGUAAGAGAAGAACGAGGGUGAGAGUGGAAAGGUCACGCUGUGACGGUAUCUAAACAGAAAGGGACGGCUAACUACGUG